AGAAGAGGCAGACAUCCGCACAAACUGAUAUCUUAAUGGGAAUUGCACAUUUUUACACAAGCCGCCUAUUGUUUACUAGUACUUAAUUCAUUAGUGCCUCUUAUUAGUUUACUGAUUACUAAUGGACCUUAUGUUCUAAGCUUAAUCCUAUAAAAGUCAAUUCAACAGUUAGUGGCUAAACAUGAGUACUAGUGUGUAGUGAGUGAACAUGGGAUCUAGAAUGGGUUUACCUUAUUGUCUUCAUCUUCUCUUCCUUUCAUGGUUUCUUUCUGCUCAUGUCUUCUGUUUGUUAGCCGUAGCGCAAAGAUCCACUUACAUUGUCCAUUUGGACAAAUCCUUAAUGCCUAAUAUCUUUGCUGAUCACCAUCAUUGGCAUUCUUCCACUAUUGAUUCCAUUAAAGCUACUGUUCCUUCAUCAGUAGACAGAUUCCACUCUGCUCCAAAACUUGUUUACUCUUAUGACAGUGUGAUUCAUGGCUUCAGUGCUGUUUUGUCCCAAGAUGAACUUGAAGCUUUGAAGAAGUUACCAGGUUUCGUUUCAGCAUACAAAGAUACAACUGUGGAACCUCACACUACCCAUACACCAGAUUUCCUCAAACUCAACCCUUCCUCUGGUCUAUGGCCAGCUUCUGGAUUAGGCCAAGAUGUGAUCAUUGGUGUUCUUGACUCUGGCAUCUGGCCUGAAUCUGCGAGUUUUCGAGAUGAUGGUAUGCCUGAAGUCCCCAAAAGGUGGAAAGGAAUUUGCAAGCCCGGCACACAGUUUAACACUUCAUUGUGCAACAGAAAACUUAUUGGGGCUAAUUACUUCAAUAAGGGAAUUUUGGCUAAUGAUCCCACUGUGAACAUUUCCAUGAAUUCUGCAAGGGAUACUGAUGGUCAUGGCACACACGUUGCUUCCAUUGCUGCUGGAAAUUUCGCCAAAGGUGUUUCCCAUUUUGGAUAUGCACCAGGAACAGCAAGAGGAGUGGCACCACGAGCUAGGCUAGCUGUGUACAAGUUUAGCUUUAAUGAAGGAACCUUUACUUCAGAUUUAAUUGCUGCUAUGGACCAAGCUGUGGCGGACGGUGUUGAUAUGAUAUCUAUUUCUUUUGGGUUCCGUUUCAUUCCUUUGUAUGAGGAUUCUAUAUCCAUUGCUUCUUUUGGAGCUAUGAUGAAGGGAGUCCUAGUUUCAGCUUCAGCUGGAAAUCGAGGUCCGGGGAUUGGAAGUUUAAACAACGGAUCUCCAUGGAUCUUGUGCGUGGCAUCAGGCCACACUGACCGGACAUUUGCAGGUACUUUGACUUUGGGCAAUGGCUUAAAAAUUAGAGGGUGGAGCUUGUUUCCUGCAAGAGCUCUUGUUACGGAUUCAACAGUGAUUUACAACAAGACUCUAGCUGAUUGCAGUUCGAAAGAAUUAUUAUCACAACUAUCUGAUCCAGAACGUACGAUCAUUAUAUGUGAAGAUAAUGGGGAUUUCUCUGAUCAAAUGCGUAUUGUCACUCGAGCAAGACUUAAAGCAGGCAUCUUUAUUUCUGAGGAUCCAGGAGUGUUCAGGUCUGCUACAUUUCCAAACCGUGGAGUUGUGAUUAACAAAAAGGAAGGGAAACAAGUCAUCAAUUAUGUAAAAAUACUGUCGAUCCCACAGCCACCAUCACGUUCCAAGAGACGCAUCUAGAUGCAACGCCAGCACCAGUUGUUGCUGCAUCCUCGGCACGAGGCCCCUCCAGAAGCUACAUGGGAAUUGCAAAGCCAGAUAUAUUGGCACCAGGGGUACUAAUUCUUGCAGCAUAUCCACCAAACGUAUUUGCCACGAGUAUUGGGGAGAACAUAGAAUUGUCCACUGAUUACAUUCUUGAAUCAGGCACAUCUAUGGCUGCACCACAUGCUGCUGGAAUUGCAGCAAUGCUAAAGGGCGUGCAUCCUGAAUGGAGUCCUUCAGCGAUUCGCUCUGGCAUGAUGACCACAGCAGAUCCUUUGGACAACACUCGAAAACCUAUUAAAGACUCGGACAUUAACAAGGCCGCCACACCCCUAGACAUGGGAUCUGGACACGUUGAUCCCAACAGAGCGCUUGAUCCUGGCCUAGUAUACGAUGCUACUCCACAAGAUUACGUAAAUCUUCUAUGCUCUCUGAAUUUCACAGAAGAGCAAUUCAAGACAAUUGCAAGAUCAUCAGACAACCACAACUGCUCAAAUCCAUCAGCCGAUCUCAAUUACCCGUCGUUCAUUGCAUUGUACCCCCUCGAGGGACCCUUCACAUUGUUGGAACAGAAAUUCAGGAGGACAGUUACAAAUGUUGGUCAAGGUGCAGCUACUUAUAAAGCUAAGAUAAACGCUCCAAAGAACACUACAGUUUCAGUAUCACCACAAACUAUAAUGUUCAAGAAGAAAAAUGAGAAACAAAAUUAUACUUUGACAAUUCGUUAUUUAGGUGAUGAGGGUCAAAGUAGAAAUGUUGGAUCCAUCACUUGGGUUGAAGAGAAUGGAAACCAUUCUGUUAGGAGUCCUAUAGUGACAUCUCCCAUUAUAGAGAUCUCGUCAUAAGUUGUGCUCCUUUAUGAUAUAUUUUGCCUUGGGAGGCGUAUGACCAUGUGAUUCUUGAUUUGGAAGUACCAAACACAAGAACAAAGGGAAAGCUAGAUGGAAAUCAUGUACUAUACUGUAUGAAUUGCUUGUGCCUAUCCCAAACUAUUUUUGAGU